AUUGAACGCUGGCGGAAUGCUUUACACAUGCAAGUCGAGCGGCAGCACGGGGGCAACCCUGGUGGCGAGCGGCGAACGGGUGAGUAAUACAUCGGAACAUGCCCAGUCGUGGGGGAUAACACCUCGAAAGAAGUGCUAAUACCGCAUACGUCCUGAGGGAGAAAGCGGGGGAUCUUCGGACCUCGCGCGAUUGGAGUGGCCGAUGUCAGAUUAGCUAGUUGGUGGGGUAAAGGCCUACCAAGGCAACGAUCUGUAGCUGGUCUGAGAGGAUGAUCAGCCACACUGGGACUGAGACACGGCCCAGACUCCUACGGGAGGCAGCAGUGGGGAAUUUUGGACAAUGGGGGCAACCCUGAUCCAGCCAUUCCGCGUGAGUGAAGAAGGCCUUCGGGUUGUAAAGCUCUUUCGGCAGGAACGAAACGGCGAGCUCUAACAUAGCUUGCUAAUGACGGUACCUGAAGAAGAAGCACCGGCUAACUACGUGCCAGCAGCCGCCGUAAGAC
rnacentral:rRNA from 1 species